rnacentral:lncRNA from 1 species
AAAAAAUUACACAGUAUAUUUUUUUUGUUAAAUAUAUUCUAAUUGAUUAGUUAAUCAGCUUACAUAGUAUUUUUAGAUAAGCGAGAAUUCCAUCCAAAAUAAAAACGUGGUAUGUGUCGACAAAGAAGGACCGAAGUAUUUUGAGUUUCAUUCUAGUGUCCUAAAUGAAUGACUCGGAUUAGUCAGAUCUAAAAUGGAUCGCUUUAAUAAUCAAUACUGAGUCUGAGAAUAUUUGAAUUCGUUCUCCUGGAAAGAUAUCCAAGAGAAAUUUAUUUCAACUGUUACUAUUUUAGAUCUGAUUAUCUAAUCUUUAACCAUUUUAAUUUCUUAACUUCAAAUUCGACUACAUUGUUUAUCUUUAUGUAUUUAGCUAGUAUAUUUU